CCCUGGCUGGCGCCUCUGUCCCCAGCGUUCUGCACGGUGACGAGCGCGCUCAGUGCACCGGGGCCUUCGCGAUGGGAAUGAGCGAAAAAUCACCUUCGCGUGCUCCAACGAGCGACCUGCCAAGGGCUACAGGCGCCUGCGGCAGGAAUUCCCCAAAGCGCCUUUCAGCUCCCGACCUUGACUCUCAUGGAACCGCCCCCGGCCAAGAGUGUGAACCUUGGGUCAGAUGUCAGAGUCCAGACCCCAGGGCCACCGCCAGCCAGCAUGGUCCCGGGGCCCGGGCCCUCUCUGAUCACCCCAGCGGAGGCCGCUCCGCUGUGCCCGUCCCUGCAGCAGAGAUUGACGUUGACUGCGAUUGCUCAGGAAGCCAAAGCAACUCCGCGCCCUGGCUCCCCGCCACCGUAAUCCAAGAAAUGAGUGUAAGAACGGAAUCCACCAAGAGCGCGUCCGGACAGGAAGUUCACAGCCGAACGGUUCUCAGCCAGGACCGGGCGAGAUCCGAGCCCAAGCUGCCUUGCAUCAAUUAAAACAGGGAGACAGAGGAUUUUCGAAGAGGGAGACCGGAUACAGGAAGAAUGCUGAUAUGGUAAAACUCACAAAAAUAAUUAAGAAUCAGCUUAUGGCUCUUUCUCUAUGCCUAGUUAAUUGCAUUUCAAUAUUUCCCCAUUGCCCUUUGGUGGAGAUCCCAGAAUAAGGUAGAACAGCAAGUAGUGCAGCCAGUAGGGGCAGGAGCAGGGGACCCAUGAACCUACGGCUGCCUGGCUCCCGUCAGGAGGAGCCUGGGGAGCGAGUGGGCCAGGCCAGGAGAGACGACCAACAAAGCCAGGGGCAAGCCCACAAGACAGCGAAC
rnacentral:lncRNA from 1 species